rnacentral:rRNA from 1 species
AGGGAACGCUGGCGGUCUUCCUAACACAUGCAAGUCGAACGGCAGCACAGUAAGAGCUUGCUCUUACGGGUGGCGAGUGGCGGACGGGUGAGGAAUACAUCGGAAUCUACUUUUUCGUGGGGGAUAACGUAGGGAAACUUACGCUAAUACCGCAUACGACCUACGGGUGAAAGCAGGGGAUCUUCGGACCUUGCGCGAUUGAAUGAGCCGAUGUCGGAUUAGCUAGUUGGCGGGGUAAAGGCCCACCAAGGCGACGAUCCGUAGCUGGUCUGAGAGGAUGAUAAGCCACACUGGAACUGAGACACGGUCCAGACUCCUACGGGAGGCAGCAGUGGGGAAUAUUGGACAAUGGGCGCAAGCCUGAUCCAGCCAUACCGCGUGGGUGAAGAAGGCCUUCGGGUUGUAAAGCAAUUUGGUUGGGAAAGAAAAGCAGCAGGUUAAUACCCCGCUGUUCUGACGGUACCCAAAGAAUAAGCACAGGCUAACUUCGGG